GACGAACGCUGGCGGCGUGCCUAAUACAUGCAGGUUGAGCGCUGAAGGUUGGUACUUGUACCAACUGGAUGAGCAGCGAACGGGUGAGUAACGCGUGGGGAAUCUGCCUUUGAGCGGGGGACAACAUUUGGAAACGAAUGCUAAUACCGCAUAAAAACUUUAAACACAAGUUUUAAGUUUGAAAGAUGCAAUUGCAUCACUCAAAGAUGAUCCCGCGUUGUAUUAGCUAGUUGGUGAGGUAAAGGCUCACCAAGGCGAUGAUACAUAGCCGACCUGAGAGGGUGGUCGGCCACAUUGGGACUGAGACACGGCCCAAACUCCUACGGGAGGCAGCAGUAGGGAAUCUUCGGCAAUGGACGAAAGUCUGACCGAGCAACGCCGCGGGAGGGAAGAAGGUUUUCGGAUCGUAAAACUCUGUUGGUAGAGAAGAACGUUGGUGAGAGUGGAAAGCUCAUCAAGUGACGGUAACUACCCAGAAAGGGACGGCUAACUACGUG
rnacentral:rRNA from 1 species